rnacentral:lncRNA from 1 species
AAAGAAGAGAACAACCGUUACGGUGGUGAAAAACGGUUACAACUCCAAAACUGCGGUUCUUGGAGCUAGGCCCUAUUGAAAGGCUCUAGAUACCACUUGUUGUAACUGAAAGAUGUUUGUUGUAACCAACUCAAUUGUUACUCAUUGAUUUUCUAAGUGAUUACAAAGCUAGGCUUAUAUAGCUUGCCACACAAGCAACACAAAUGGGCUUGAUACACAACUAGGCCCAAUGCAAGCUAAGCCCAAACACACAUAUACAAC